AUUGAACGCUGGCGGCAGGCUUAACACAUGCAAGUCGAACGAGUGGCGGACGGGUGCGUAAUGCUUGGGAAUCUAGCUUAUGGAGGGGGAUAACUACUGGAAACUGUAGCUAAUACCGCGUACCAUCGGAUGCGCCCAAGUGGGAUUAGGUAGUUGGUGAGGUAAAGGCUCACCAAGCCGACGAUCUCUAGCUGGUCUGAGAGGAUGGCCAGCAAAACUGGGACUGAGACACGGACCAGACUCCUACGGGAGGCAGCAGUGGGGAAUAUUGCGCAAUGGGGGAAACCUGACGCAGCCAUGCCGCGUGAAUGAAGAAGGCCGUCGGGUUGUAAAGUUCUUUCGGUAGCGAGGCGUUAACUACAGAAGAAGCACCGGCUAACUCAGUGCCAGCAGCCGCGGUAAUUC
rnacentral:rRNA from 1 species